rnacentral:rRNA from 1 species
GACGAACGCUGGCGGCGUGCUUAACACAUGCAAGUCGAACGGAAAGGCACUGCUUUUGUGGGGUGCUCGAGUGGCGAACGGGUGAGUAACACGUGAGUAACCUGCCCUUGACUUUGGGAUAACUUCAGGAAACUGGGGCUAAUACCGGAUAGGAGCUCCUGCUGCAUGGUGGGGGUUGGAAAGUUUCGGCGGUUGGGGAUGGACUCGCGGCUUAUCAGCUUGUUGGUGGGGUAGUGGCUUACCAAGGCUUUGACGGGUCGCCGGCCUGAGAGGGUGACCGGCCACCCUAGAGCUGGACCAGCGACCAGGCGACUGAGAGACGGCGCAGACUGGUACGGUAGGCAGUAGGGGGGAAUCUUGCACAGUGAGCGCAAGUGGGAGACGGCGACGCUGCGUGCGUGAUGACGUCCUGCGGGGUGUAAACCGCUGUCGCCCGUGACGAAGCGGGAGUGACGGUAAUGAGUAAAGAAGCACCGGCUAACUACGUG